AAAUGCCGAUACUUGGUGCUUUUAUUUUAAAAAAUCCCAUGUGAAUGAAUGGAACAUAUUUUCAAACAAGAUAUCGCUCAUGAGUAUUUGCUGAACAUAGCUGAGAAGUUCACAUUUGAGAAUAACUGAUUUAAAGCCUGACCAUGGCGACAAUUGGAGAUUUCGACCCGCUCAACUCAACGGUACCUGCGACCAAGAUUGAAGUUACCGUCUCGUGCAGGAACCUGCUGAAUAUGGACACUUUCUCCAAAUCAGACCCUGGUCCAUUCAACCGCUCCCAUCUAUCUCUUAACACCAUCCAUACUGGAUUUCUAAUUUCCAUAUAUUUUUCAACUGUGCUGUGAUGCUUCAAAAGUACUCAACCUUUCUAUUCUCAUAGUUACUAUAUAUUGUAAAAUAAAGAUAAACAUUUUUGCUAAAAUAAUUAUUAUAUUAUUGAUCGAUUGACUAUGACUUUUUUUAAAUCACC
ensembl:lncRNA